CCUAAAGAAGUUUGAAAUUGGCUUCUCCAACUCAGCAAUGGACUGAACCUAUUCAUCAAUAGGGUGUUUUAGAGUCCAUUAGUGUAGAAACAAGUAAAUAAUGUAUUGGGCCAGAUCUUCAGCUACUGCACCUCUUUUGAAGUGAGUGGAGCCUGGUUCAUUUUCACCAGUUUUGUUUCGUUAGGCCACAUAAUCCAGCCCAGAAGUUUUGGGGUGCGUGCCUGCUGUUUGGAGCCACAGUCAUCCCCCCAUACACAUACAGCCUCUCUGCAGGAGCAACAAGA